AGUGAACGCUGGCGGUAGGCCUAACACAUGCAAGUCGAACGGCAGCACAGUAAGAGCUUGCUCUUACGGGUGGCGAGUGGCGGACGAGUGAGGAAUACAUCGGAAUCUACUUUUUCGUGGGGGAUAACGUAGGGAAACUUACGCUAAUACCGCAUACGACCUACGGGUGAAAGCAGGGGAUCUUCGGACCUUGCGCGAUUGAAUGAGCCGAUGUCGGAUUAGCUAGUUGGCGGGGUAAAGGCCAACCAAGGCGACGAUCCGUAGCUGGUCUGAUAGGAUGAUCAGCCACACUGGAACUGAGACACGGUCCAGACUCCUACGGGAGGCAGCAGUGGGGAAUAUUGGACAAUGGGCGCAAGCCUGAUCCAGCCAUACCGCGUGUGUGAAGAAGGCCUUCGGGUUGUAAAGCCCUUUUGUUGGGAAAGAAAAGCAGCAGGUUAAUACCCCGCUGUUCUGACGGUACCCAAAGAAUAAGCACCGGCUAACUUCGUG
rnacentral:rRNA from 1 species